rnacentral:rRNA from 1 species
GGAAUUUUGGGCAAUGGGCGAAAGCCUGACCCAGCAACGCCGCGUGAAGGAUGAAAUCCCUCGGGAUGUAAACUUCGCAAGAACGGGAAGAAUAAGUAAGAGUUAACAUCUCUUAUGAUGACGGUACUGUUUGUAAGCUCCGGCUACCUCCGUGCCAGCCGCCGCGGUAAUACGGGGGGAGCAAGCGUUGUUCGGAUUUACUGGGCGUAAAGGGCGCGUAGGCGGCCACCGCAAGUCGACUGUGAAAUCUCCGGGCUUAACCCGGAACGGUCAGCCGAUACUGCGGGGCUAGAGUGCAGAAGGGGCAACUGGAAUUCUCGGUGUAGCGGUGAAAUGCGUAGAUAUCGAGAGGAACACCUGCGGCGAAGGCGGGUUGCUGGGCUGACACUGACGCUGAGGCGCGAAAGCUAGGGGAGCGAACGGG